rnacentral:misc_RNA from 1 species
GAUGAAGAACGUAGCGAAAUGCGAUAAGUAAUGUGAAUUGCAGAUUUCAGUGAAUCAUCGAAUCUUUGAACGCACAUUGCGCCCGCUAGUAUUCUGGCGGGCAUGCCUGUUCGAGCGUCAUUUCAACCAUCAAGCCCUGUGCUUGUGUUGGAGCCCUGCGGCUGCCGCAGGCUCCCAAACCCAGUGGCGGGCUCGUCGUCGUACCGAGUGCAGUAAACAUACCACGCUCAGGGCACGCGACGGGUGACCGGCCGUAAAACCCCCCCCCUUCUCAAGGUUGACCUCGGAUCAGGUAGGAAUACCCGCUGAACUUAAGCAUAUCAAUAAGCGGAGGA